rnacentral:sRNA from 1 species
GAGAUGAUGGCGACGGAGAAGGCUCC